AAUAGCUGUCGUACAAAUGCACUGCAGCACCCCGCUGUUUGUUUUAACGCACCGUACCGAAUAAGGAAGAUUCUGCUUACCGUACCGUUGUGCAUUUUGCUAGGAAUGGCCAAAAUGAUGACAUUUGCUGCACGUAGCUUUAUUACCUGACCUUACGACUUUGUAGAUAUCUCUGGAUAAUUGGGAUUUCAUCAUUGGAUUUAAGAUACACAAGCUCCACCUGCUGGAAGGUUAUAGAAG